UGAGGAAUAUUGCGCAAUGGGCGAAAGCCUGACGCAGCGACGCCGCGUGGGGGAUGAAGGCCUUCGGGUUGUAAACCCCUGUCAGGAGGGACGAAGCGGCUUCGCGCCGUGACGGUACCUCGGUAGGAAGCCCCGGCCAACUACGUGCCAGCAGCCGCGGUAAGACGUAGGGGGCGAGCGUUGUCCGGAAUUACUGGGCGUAAAGAGCUCGUAGGCGGCCUGUUAAGUCGGAUGUGAAAGCCCCCGGCUCAACCGGGGAAUUGCAUCCGAUACUGGCAGGCUAGAGUCUGGUAGAGGGAGGUGGAAUUCCCGGUGUAGCGGUGAAAUGCGCAGAUAUCGGGAGGAACACCGGUGGCGAAGGCGGCCUCCUGGGCCACGACUGACGCUGAGGAGCGAAAGCUGGGGGAGCGAACA
rnacentral:rRNA from 1 species